CCCUCCACGUGGCGCUUCAUGAGUGGUUACGAGUUGGUUCGAAUUUGGAUGUCGGGGUAGAAUCGGGUCGGUUUUUGGGUUUGGACGUCUCCUUCUUCACCCGACUCCCUCCCCAUGCGGUUCGAAACCCUAGCGCCGCCCCUGCAAUCGCCGAUCACGGGCACCAUAGCACCUCGAGCAGCCCCGCCUGAGCCCAAGCAAUUUCGUCAGAAAAUUGAGUCACUCAUCGAGAAGUCCCAGGUUGGUCCGAAGGAGUAGCUUAACUGAGCGUAGGUGAUCCAUCUGGUCAUCCUCGAGUUUCAACUACAGAGUUGACAAAUACCGCGGGGGCGAAGAGUCUCUAUAGUUUUGCCCAUCAUUUAAUUUUUCCGUAGCAAGAGUGGAAUAGCCACACAGUAUGUUUUAUAGUUUUGCCCAUCAUCCAACUUUUUCAUUUCACAGAAACUAAUUUUGAUCGUAUCUGCUUUGGUGUAAUUCUUUUUUUAGCGAGCAUCGCAUUGGCAUUAUCUGUAGCUCAAUGUAAAGUGCCAUCGAAAGCCUUCCUCAAUUUGUUGUUCCAGCGGGGGAGAGGCUUGCUGCAUAGUUCUGCACCAUGUCCAUGAUUUUCAAUGGAUUGAAUUUGUGGUUUAUGACCACCCCAUGUAAUGUCCAAAAACUGUAUGGAACUUGAAUUUGCCUUUUUGUGCAAAUCACUGGUGCA